rnacentral:rRNA from 1 species
GAACGCUAGCGACAGGCUUAACACAUGCAAGUCGAGGGGCAGCACAGGUAGCAAUACCGGGUGGCGACCGGCGCACGGGUGAGUAACGCGUAUGCAACUUGCCUAUCAGAGGGGGAUAACCCGGCGAAAGUCGGACUAAUACCGCAUGAAGCAGGGAUCCCGCAUGGGAAUAUUUGCUAAAGAUUCAUCGCUGAUAGAUAGGCAUGCGUUCCAUUAGGCAGUUGGCGGGGUAACGGCCCACCAAACCGACGAUGGAUAGGGGUUCUGAGAGGAAGGUCCCCCACAUUGGUACUGAGACACGGACCAAACUCCUACGGGAGGCAGCAGUGAGGAAUAUUGGUCAAUGGGCGUAAGCCUAAACCAGCCAAGUCGCGUGAGGGAUGAAGGUUCUAUGGAUCGUAAACCUCUUUUAUAAGGGAAUAAAGUGCGGGACGUGUCCCGUUUUGUAUGUACCUUAUGAAUAAGGAUCGGCUAACUCCGUGCCAGCAGCCGCGGUAAUACGGAGGAUCCGAGCGUUAUCCGGAUUUAUUGGGUUUAAAGGGUGCGUAGGCGGCCUUUUAAGUCAGCGGUGAAAGUCUGUGGCUCAACCAUAGAAUUGCCGUUGAAACUGGGGGGCUUGAGUAUGUUUGAGGCAGGCGGAAUGCGUGGUGUAGCGGUGAAAUGCAUAGAUAUCACGCAGAACCCCGAUUGCGAAGGCAGCCUGCCAAGCCAUUACUGACGCUGAUGCACGAAAGCGUGGGGAUCAAACAGGAUUAGAUACCCUGGUAGUCCACGCAGUAAACGAUGAUCACUAGCUGUUUGCGAUACACUGUAAGCGGCACAGCGAAAGCGUUAAGUGAUCCACCUGGGAAGUACGCCGGCAACGGUGAAACUCAAAGGAAUUGACGGGGGCCCGCACAAGCGGAGGAACAUGUGGUUUAAUUCGAUGAUACGCGAGGAACCUUACCCGGGUUUGAACGCAUUCGGACCGAGGUGGAAACACCUUUUCUAGCAAUAGCCGUUUGCGAGGUGCUGCAUGGUUGUCGUCAGCUCGUGCCGUGAGGUGUCGGCUUAAGUGCCAUAACGAGCGCAACCCUUGCCACUAGUUACUAACAGGUAAAGCUGAGGACUCUGGUGGGACUGCCAGCGUAAGCUGCGAGGAAGGCGGGGAUGACGUCAAAUCAGCACGGCCCUUACAUCCGGGGCGACACACGUGUUACAAUGGCGUGGACAAAGGGAAGCCACCUGGCGACAGGGAGCGAAUCCCCAAACCACGUCUCAGUUCGGAUCGGAGUCUGCAACCCGACUCCGUGAAGCUGGAUUCGCUAGUAAUCGCGCAUCAGCCAUGGCGCGGUGAAUACGUUCCCGGGCCUUGUACACACCGCCCGUCAAGCCAUGGGAGCCGGGGGUACCUGAAGUCCGUAACCGCGAGGAUCGGCCUAGGGUAAAACUGGUGACUGGGGCUAAGU